AUUGAACGCUGGCGGCAGGCCUAACACAUGCAAGUCGAGCGGUAGAGAGAAGCUUGCUUCUCUUGAGAGCGGCGGACGGGUGAGUAAUGCCUAGGAAUCUGCCUAGUGGUGGGGGAUAACGUUCGGAAACGGACGCUAAUACCGCAUACGUCCUACGGGAGAAAGCGGGGGAUCUUCGGACCUCGCGCCAUUAGAUGAGCCUAGGUCGGAUUAGAUAGUUGGUGAGGUAAUGGCUCACCAAGGCGACGAUCCGUAACUGGUCUGAGAGGAUGAUCAGUCACACUGGAACUGAGACACGGUCCAGAUUCCUACGGGAGGCAGCAGUGGGGAAUAUUGGACAAUGGGCGAAAGCCUGAACCAGCCAUGCCGCGUGUGUGAGGAAGGUCUUCGGAUUGUAAAGCACUUUAAGUUGGGAGGAAGGGUAGUAACCUAAUACGUUGCUACUUUGACGUUACCGACAGAAUAAGCACCGGCUAACUUCGUGCCAGCCGCCGCAGUAAUAC
rnacentral:rRNA from 1 species